GUAGAUAGUUUACUCACCUUUAAAGUGUAAUGGAAUUUAUUUAUCUGCGAAGUUAAGCAGCCUCAAGCUCGGGUAGUACUCGGGUGGGUGACCACCGGGGAAGUCCGAGUGCUGUCUACU
rfam:Pythium ultimum DAOM BR144 ctg_1117875579430, whole genome shotgun sequence.